CCUACGGGGUGCAGCAGUGGGGGAUAUUGGACAAUGGGGGGAACCCUGAUCCAGCGACGCCGCGUGAGUGAAGAAGCAUUUCGGUAUGUAAAGCUCUGUCAGCAGGGAAGAAAGCAAUGACGGUACCUGACCAAGAAGCCCCGGCUAACUACGUGCCAGCCGCCGCGGUAAUACGGUGGGGGCAAGGGUGAUCCGGAAUUACUGGGUGUACAGGGAGCGUAGACGGCUGUGCAAGUCUGGAGUGAAAGGCGGGGGGCCAACCCCCGGACUGCUCUGGAAACUGGAUGGCUGGAGUGCAGGAGAGGUAAGCGGAAUUCCUAGUGUAGCGGUGAAAUGCGUAGAUAUUAGGAGGAACACCAGUGGCGAAGGCGGCUUACUGGACUGUAACUGACGUUGAGGCUCGAAAGCGUGGGGAGCAAACAGGAUUAGAUACCCGUGUAGUC
rnacentral:rRNA from 1 species